rnacentral:rRNA from 1 species
GACGUAGGGUCCAAGCGUUGUCCGGAUUUACUGGGCGUAAAGAGCGCGUAGGCGGCUUGUUAAGUGUGAAGUGAAAUCUCCAGGGCUCAACCCGGAAACUGCUUUACAUACUGGCAAGCUGGAGUGAUGCAGAGGUUUGUGGAAUUCCCGGUGUAGCAGUGAAAUGCGUAGAGAUCGGGAGGAACACCAGUGGCGAAGGCGGCCUUCUGGACCAAUACUGACGCUCAUGCACGAAAGCGUGGGGAGCAAACAGG